CGGGUCAAGGGACAGAAAGGCUGUGCAGAGAGGAUGCUGCCUGAGGGACAGGCAAAGCUGACCUUGUGACUUGGUGUCCGAGUGUAAGGAAAUGAAAGCGGAAAGCAGCCUGCUUGUGCUUUGAAGACGUAGCGAGYGAGGCAGGGGCUGAGGCAGGGCCUGAAAUGUGGGGACGCUGAGCUCGUCACAGUCUCUCACUGCAGGAAAGACACCGCCAGCCACAGAUGUGCAACAGGACGGUUCCCAGAUGUGCUGCAAGCCAGCAGCCAGGCAGGUCUUGAACCACUGUCCAGAGCUCAGAGGAAAGCAGAGACUUCAAGGACGGAGUGUCUUGUGAUGCUCAAGAAAAAUGCUGGGGCAUGCGGGGUGUACAGCCCUGGCUCCUUCUCGCCUUGCCUUGCUCCUGCUGAUGCUCUGUGCUGCUGUGACUGCCCAGGACUUCUGCARCUCCCCRGGUCUCCCGGGAGAGCAUGGGGAGGUACACGUGUGGCUACCAGCACAGGAAUGGGAGCAACUGGCUGAGAAGCUCUUUGCUCAGUGCCCCCCGCGACCUGACCAUCACAGGUGAGGCGUGGUGCCAAGGCAGGGGCAAAUGCGCUGUAGCUGCAACAGACCCU
rnacentral:lncRNA from 1 species